UACGGGAGGCAGCAGUAGGGAAUCUUCCACAAUGGACGCAAGUCUGAUGGAGCAACGCCGCGUGAGUGAAGAAGGUUUUCGGAUCGUAAAGCUCUGUUGUUGGUGAAGAAGGAUAGAGGUAGUAACUGGCCUUUAUUUGACGGUAAUCAACCAGAAAGUCACGGCUAACUACGUGCCAGCAGCCGCGGUAAU
rnacentral:rRNA from 2 species